rnacentral:lncRNA from 10 species
GCAGUGAGUUCAGUCUGUAGCUCCUCGGGCCCUGGGGAGACUCCAGCACCCAGGGCUCCUGGUUGAAGGAAAGCGUCCACUCUCUGAGACUUCCCCUCCAAGGAACAGGAGAGUAAGAGGGGGGGCUGGGAGAGAAGAGCGGGAGGAAAGAGGAGGAAGAGGGCCAUUCUCCUAUUGGCCGGGUCACUUCCCAGCUGUUGCUGUCAGUCAAACCCGAUUGGUCAUUCAGGCAUCCAUUCAAACAUUUCCUGGGCACCCAGACGUUGCAGGGGAAACGUGUGAUGGAGAAAAGCCAGCGUCUAUCCCCCCAAGAAUCCUGUGAUCAGACCGUCUGGCAACCUAGUGCACCUCUGGGUUGUGUGUCUGUCUCCGAGGUCUCGCUCUUCGCGGACGCGCCCCGAUUUUCGAGCCCUCCGUGCCAGCGCACAGGCGGGACAACACGGAAAACCGCUGGUGCAGGGUUUGCGAGUAGCUGGUUGCGUCCGCCGGGACCCGACAGACCGGCAGGCCCAGAGAACUCCGGGACUGUCUGGGGAACGCGCCAGGCCCAUGUCGGCUGGGGCGCUCGGAGCUGGGAGAGGGCGGAGAGCCUCCAUCCAGGCCGGAGCAUCCCAGAGCCCGAGGUGCGGAGCAGCAUGGAGCGCCCGAGGCGGGCGGCGCCAGGGCCAGAGUCUACCCAGGGGAUUUCUGCCGCCUUUAUAGGCUGGAAAAAUAAAGAUCAAAAACAAACCGAAAAAAA